UUGACCUCGGAUCAGGUAGGGAUACCCGCUGAACUUAAGCAUAUCAAUAAGCGGAGGAAAAGAAACCAACAGGGAUUGCCCUAGUAACGGCGAGUGAAGCGGCAACAGCUCAAAUUUGAAAGCUAGCCUUCGGGUUCGCAUUGUAAUUUGUAGAGGAUGAUUUGGGGAAGCCGCCUGUCUAAGUUCCUUGGAACAGGACGUCAUAGAGGGUGAGAAUCCCGUAUGUGACAGGAAAUGGCACCCUAUGUAAAUCUCCUUCGACGAGUCGAGUUGUUUGGGAAUGCAGCUCUAAAUGGGAGGUAAAUUUCUUCUAAAGCUAAAUAUUGGCGAGAGACCGAUAGCGCACAAGUAGAGUGAUCGAAAGAUGAAAAGCACUUUGGAAAGAGAGUUAAAAAGCACGUGAAAUUGUUGAAAGGGAAGCGCUUGCAAUCAGACUUGUUUAAACUGUUCGGCCGGUCUUCUGACCGGUUUACUCAGUUUGGACAGGCCAGCAUCAGUUUCGGCGGCCGGAUAAAGGCUCUGGGAAUGUGGCCUUCACUUCGGUGGAGGUGUUAUAGCCCAGGGUGUAAUACGGCCAGCCGGGACUGAGGUCCGCGCUUCGGCUAG
rnacentral:rRNA from 1 species